rnacentral:tRNA from 1 species
GCAGGUAUAGCUCAGUGGUAGAGUGAGUGCUUAGCAUGCACGAGGUACUGGGUUCAAUCCCCAGUACCUAUA